rnacentral:rRNA from 1 species
UACGAAGGGGGCUAGCGUUGUUCGGAAUUACUGGGCGUAAAGCGCACGUAGGCGGGUUGUUAAGUCAGGGGUGAAAUCCCGGGGCUCAACCUCGGAACUGCCUUUGAUACAGCACGUCUCGAGUCCGGAAGAGGUGGGUGGAAUUCCUAGUGUAGAGGUGAAAUUCGUAGAUAUUAGGAAGAACACCGGUGGCGAAGGCGGCCCACUGGUCCGGUACUGACGCUGAGGUGCGAAAGCGUGGGGAGCAAACAGG